rnacentral:rRNA from 1 species
CCUACGGGUGACAGCAGUGAGGUAUCUUGGUCAAUGGGCUCGAGCCUGCACCAGCCAAGUAUCGUGAAGGAUGACUGCCCUACGUGUUGUAAACUUCUUUUAUAAAGGAAUAAAGUGAGGCACGUGUGCCUUUUUGUAUGUACUUUAUGAAUAAGGAUCGACUAACUCCGUACCAGCAGCCGCGGUAAUACGGAGGAUCCGAGCGUUAUCUGGAUUUAUUGUGUUUAAAGGGAGCGUAGAUGGGUUGUUAAGUCAGUUGUGAAAGUUUGCGGCGCAACCGUAAAAUUGCAAUUGAUACUGGCAGUCUUGAGUACAGUUGAGGUAGGCGGAAUUCGUGGUGUAGCGGUGAAAUGCUUAGAUAUCACGAAGAACUCCGAUUGCGAAGGCAGCUUACUAAACUGCCACUGACAUUGAUGCUCGAAAGUGUGGGUAUCAAACAGGAUUAGAUACCCUGGUAGUC